rnacentral:lncRNA from 1 species
AUCAGACCUGUCUUGACUGUUAAUAAGAUGGACAGGUGCUUCCUUGAGCUCCAGGUAGAUGGAGAGGAGGCUUACCAGACAUUCCAGAGGGUGAUUGAAAAUGCUAAUGUCAUCAUGGCCACCUAUGAAGAUCCUCUUCUUGGUGAUGUUCAAGUAUAUCCCGAGAAGGGAACAGUUGCGUUCUCUGCUGGUUUGCAUGGUUGGGCCUUUACCUUGACAAACUUUGCUAAAAUGUAUGCCUCAAAGUUUGGAGUUGAUGAAGCAAAAAUGAUGGAAAGGCUUUGGGGUGAGAACUUUUUUGAUCCAGCUACCAAGAAGUGGACCACCAAGAACACUGGCUCUGCCACCUGCAAACGUGGAUUUGUUCAAUUCUGUUAUGAACCCAUCAAGCAGAUCAUCAACACUUGUAUGAAUGACCAGAAGGAUAAGCUCUGGCCCAUGUUGCAAAAACUUGGUGUCACCAUGAAGUC